rnacentral:tRNA from 1 species
CAGUAGCUCAGUUGGUAGAGUCCCGGUCUCCAAAACCGGUUGUCGUGGGUUCGAGUCCUACCUG